AGAGUUUGAUCAUGGCUCAGAAUCAACGCUGGCGGCGCGCCUAACACAUGCAAGUCGAACGAGAAAGUGGAGCAAUCCAUGAGUACAGUGGCGUACGGGUGAGUAACACGUGGGUAAUCUACCUUUUAGUGAGGAAUAACCGAGGGAAACUUUGGCUAAUACCGCAUAAGUCCGAGAGGAGAAAGUCGAAAGACGCUGAAAGAGGAGCCCGCGGCCGAUUAGCUAGUUGGUGGGGUAAGAGCCCACCAAGGCAGAGAUCGAGCCGGCCUGAGAGGGCACACGGCCACNNCCGGCACUGAAACACGGGCCAGACUCCUACGGGAGGCAGCAGUGGGGAAUCUUGCACAAUGGGGGGAAACCCCUGAUGCAGCGACGCCGCGUGAGCGAUGAAGCCCUUCGGGGUGUAAAGCUCUUUCGUCAGGGAAGAUAGUGACGGUACCUGGAGAAGCAGCUGCGGCUAACUACGUGCCAGCAGCCGCGGUAAUACGUAGGCAGCAAGCGUUGUUCGGAGUUACUGGGCGUAAAGGGUGUGUAGGCGGUUCUUUAAGUUUGGUGUGAAAUCUCCCGGCUCAACUGGGAGGGUGCGCCGAAUACUGAGGGACUAGAGUACGGGAGAGGAAAGUGGAAUUCCUGGUGUAGCGGUGAAAUGCGUAGAUAUCAGGAGGAACACCGGUGGUGUAGACGGCUUUCUGGACCGUAACUGACGCUGAGACACGAAAGCGUGGGUAGCAAACAGGAUUAGAUACCCUAGUAGUCC
rnacentral:rRNA from 1 species